CCCGUGGGCUCAGUUAUAGGCCGAGGAGGCGGCCCGGGCGCAGAGGCCCCGCCCCCGCCUUGCACCCGCCCCGCGGAUCCGCGCCCGCGCCCGCGCUCGCGCUGCCCGCGGCGCCCUGGGCCGGGCUGUGAGCAACACGCGGGGCCGAGCGCACGAUUCCACUUCGGUGCCGGCUGGAGCGGAGGAAGCGGGUGCCGUGCGGAAAUGGAGACUUAGAGAGGUUGAGCGACUCAUUUAGGAUACGCGGCUGACUUCAACCUGAAAGGGUGUGAAGCUGAGUUUCUAGAGCCUUUGUCUCCAUGAGAAAGAGCCUGAGAAUAAAUUUAUCGUAAAGGAAAUGGAGCCUGACAAUAUCAUUGGAGCACCUGGAUCCAGCCAAGCCUGAAGCCACUAUGCGUUUUUAUCAGAUGUUCAUUAUGACCAUUUUUAUACUUCACUCCUGAAGGAUAUUUAGCUUGUUUUGAGGCUUCUGCUGAUACCAACGACGGGACAGUGAACUUCCUGGGUUGAAGGUAGAUCUGCGUGUUCCCUUUUAUCAAGGACUGCACCACAACUACCGUGGAUUAAAGCACUCAUUACCCUACUUCCCCUUGAAGAAGGAAGGAGCUGGACACAAACUGCCAAAUGAGAAGGAUUCCUCAUCCAAGUGGGCUGCUGAGCCACCGUGCUGCUUUAGGACUCCGUUCCCUGUGUGUCUCAUGGGGAGACAACACCACCGGAAGGGCCCUCGCAAACUGGCUUCGGGAGAGACCUGCUCUGGGAGGCCUAGAGGGCAGGUCUGGGGUGACUAGUGGGAGUUUUGGGACGGAGGAAGGGUAGCGGUGCUAGGUGGCCGCAUCUCAGCUUCAGAGGGAAGCGGAUCUCCUUUUAUCUGUUCCUUGUGCUGGGUUUCUGAGUCCCUUGUACUUGUGGUAGGCUGAAAAAUGGCCCCUCAAGAGCUAUCCAUGUCAAAUCCUGGAAUCUGUGACUAUUACCUUAUUUGGAAAAGGGGACUUGGCAGAUGUAAUUAAAUUAAGGAUUUUUUUUUAAAGA